rnacentral:lncRNA from 10 species
AUUUAAUUUCCCAUCUGAUCAGAUCUCUAGGUUGUUUCUAAUCUUUUCCUCUUAGAAUCAGUUCUGCAUCUAUCUGGGUUGAGAAUUUCCUCAUUUCAAACGCCUGAGUCAUGGGGUUCUGUUUUCUUCUGCCUCUAGCAUUUGGCUUUGAUCUGCCCGCUUCUGCCCUCCACACAUUCUAUUCUGGCUCUUUCCCCUCCCAUCUAGGCCCCACCCAUUCUCCUCUCAGAGCCCCAGGCCUCCAGGUUCCGCUCCCCUCCACCCUCCCCUCUGCAGCCAGAGGAUCUUGAAACAGCGGGCAUCUGAGAUUAUUUGUCUGAGCUGGUUUCCUCUCCUAGCCCAAAGUGGGGCGAGUGCAGGGACAGGGCUUGUCUGCCUUCCCUAGGCCUGUGUGCCCGUGCCUCACACUGCCAUGAGAUGAGGAAGACACAGUCAUUAAACGGGAUGAAAGUGUACCUGUCUCAACAACUGGCUUCCUGCUCACAGGUCGAGAGCGAUCUUGGCUGUUGAAAAUAUGUGGAUCGGCAGCGCACACCUGCCGAUUCUGGCUGAUCUCGGAAUACGCUCAUGCAUCGGGGCCCCACACAGGAUCUCCAGACUCAGUGGGCACCUUUGGCCAGACAGUGGCUGUGCAGGUACGUCUGUGUACUCGGGAUUUGGCAUAAGGCUGGACGCACAAGGGAGAGAUUGUGGCCGGCCCUCUCACCUCGCCCCAUUUGGAACUCAUGAUGCGGAAGUUGUCACUUAGGAGGUUCAGGACCUCAGGAACUCCGGGUCCCCGUAGCCAUAGCGGUUCCCGAAGACAAGAACAGCCUGGAGCGUCCGGACCGGCAAGUCCAGCGCCGGGGCCUCACUGUUUCCGCGUGUGAAGCGUUCGAAGACUGCCAUGGACCCGCGGCCGGAGACCGCAUCCGCCUGUAGCACUAACGCGUCCCGCAGCGCUGCGUAGCCGCACAGCACCACCGCAGGGCGCGGGCCCAGCCGCACUGUGAACACCCGGCCCCAGCGGCCGGAGAGCUACGGGUAGCCGGUGCUCAGCGGGUGCCCAUAGGGUUCCUCAUCGGAGCCAUUGCCCCCAGCUCCCUCUUCCUUCAGACCCAGGAGUCCUCGUCUCAGACCCUCAUUCCUCAGGUCCAGGAAUUCAGAUCCCCAGCUCCUUCCUCCCUGAGAUGCGGGAGUCCAGGCCCCCACUUCCUUCUUCCCUUGGGACCUAGAAGUCCAGAUUCCCAACCUCCUGUACCCUCAGAGUGUCUCCUGGGCCCUCAGUACCUCCCCACCCUGAACCAGGAGAACAGACCCCCUGCUCCCCUCUUCCCACAACCUGAUUUCCUGCUCUGGGCUCCUUCCUUACGACCCAGUGUCCCGGCCCCAGGCUCUCCACUCCCUAUUCUCCUUUCCUAGUACUCAGCAGUCCGGAGCACUCAUCCUUCCUGUCCUUCCUCAAGAUCAUAGAGUACAAGCCCUCAGCUGUCUUCGUUCAGGAGGAGUUCUAGUCCCCAGCCCCACCUCCACGAAUCCAGAAUUCCGUUCCCCCAUUCCUGUCGGGAAUGGAGCGCGCGGUCCAGGCCUCCGGACUGCAGCUGCAAGUUCCCCAGCAAUGGGAGCAGCCUGGGCCGGGGAGGUAGGGACCCCCGCAUCUGAGCGCGGCACCCACCCUACCCCCACCACGCCGGCACCAGCACCAGAAGCCACAACAGCAGCGCAGCGAUACCCGCGAUCAUCAUGCCUGCAAUUCUCCACGCCUGCACCUCUAUUUGAUUUCCAAGGGGUCUUGGGUGGAGCAGGGGCAGAGACCCGAUGUGGGAGGAGUGGGCAUCUCAGGGCUGCUCAUUCCAUGGAUUCCCCAGCCCGACGUCUCCAGCCCACCCCCAGCCCUGGUGGAACUGUGCCCUGGCUCCUCCUGGCUUUUUUUUUUGUGCCUGCCUCAGCCUGCCCCACUUAACAUCUUUCGUACACCAGCAUUUUCAUGUCAACACACCUGGCCAACAGGUGCACCCUCCUGAGCCCCUAGCACCUUUGAGUCCAAUUUAUUUGGCCUGUAGGUGUGUAUUCCUCAAUCUCCGGGCCAUCUCUGGGCCCCCUGAACGCUGUACCCUGUACCUCUGAUUCCUAAAUACACACCGACUCUCAAAUACACUUCUUCUUCUUCUUCUUCCUUCUUCUUCUCCUUCUUCUCCUUCUUUUUUUUUUCAGAGUUUCGCUCUUGUCGCCCAGGCUGGAGUGCAGUGGUGCGAUCUCGGCUCACUGCAACCUCCGCCUACCAGGUUCAAGAUUCUCCUGCCUCAGCCUCCCA